UACGAAGGGGGGCUAGCGUUGCUCGGAAUCACUGGGCGUAAAGGGUGCGCAGGCGGCUAAGUGUGUCAGAUGUGAAAAUCCCCGAGGCUUAACCUCGGAACUGCGUCUGAAACUACUUGGCUAGAGUACUGGAGAGGGUAACGGAAUUCACGGUGUAGCAGUGAAAUGCGUAGAUAUCGUGAGGAACACCAGAGGCGAAGGCGGUUACCUGGACAGUUACUGACGCUCAGGCACGAAAGCGUGGGGAGCAAAAGGG
rnacentral:rRNA from 1 species